CCUACGGGUGGCUGCAGUGGGGAAUAUUGCACAAUGGGCGCAAGCCUGAUGCAGCCAUGCCGCGUGUGUGAAGAAGGUCUUCGGGUUGUAAAGCACUUUCAGCGGGGAGGAAGGCGUUAAGGUUAAUAACCUUGUCGAUUGACGUUACCCGCAGAAGAAGCACCGGCUAACUCCGUGCCAGCAGCCGCGGUAAUACGGAGGGUGCAAGCGUUAAUCGGAAUUACUGGGCGUAAAGCGCACGCAGGCGGUCUGUCAAGUCGGAUGUGAAAUCCCCGGGCUCAACCUGGGAACUGCAUUCGAAACUGGCAGGCUAGAGUCUUGUAGAGGGGGGUAGAAUUCCAGGUGUAGCGGUGACAUGCGUAGAGAUCUGGAGGAAUACCGGUGGCGAAGGCGGCCCCCUGGACAAAGACUGACGCUCAGGUGCGAAGGCGUGGGGAGCAAACAGGAUUAGAUACCCGGGUAGUC
rnacentral:rRNA from 1 species